UAUUUACUCCUCGCAGCGGACGGACUUGGUAAUGAAUAUCCAGCAUCCGCUGGGAAGGCGUUAUCAGGGGCUGCUGCUACAUUCGUGCAUGGGGCGGGUAUAGGGAGCGCACAGCACACACAAGCACGCACAACAACAGCUGGCGACGAGCGAAUAGUCGCAGCCCCGGCCAGCAUUCAUCAUACGCGAGCUGCCGAAGCUAGGCUCAAGCUAAACAGGCGCUAAGGUCGAAGCUUUAGCGCACGCAGAGUGUCUACCGAGAGAAGAGCGACCGGGAGCAAGGUAGCGGUGAAGUAAGAGGGACCUUGGCCCCCGGAGUGUCCCGCUUGGGUGCGGGCUCUGGUCCCGCGUGGGAGCCGUGGGAACCGAGGAGGAGAGGAGGGGGUAUAGGGAGGCUGUUUUGCGAGAGAGGAGACAACAGAGCUGUGGGGAAGAAAGGAAAGGCGGCAGGAAGGCGCCUGCAGUGAAGGCGAUUGGACCAUGGAGCUCGAAGGUGGCAACUUGCUGCCCUCACCGCCACCGGCCGAGAAGGGCAGCCCGGAGGGCGCAUCGCUGGGGCACGCGGACAGGCAAAUGUCAGCAGAGGUGGAAAAAAGCCAAAAGGGAAGAAACUCUUCUGGAGAGAAUGGAUGGAAAUUUAUAGACGUCGUGAGCAACAGAAACGUGAAGCUAAUCGAACGGGUAAUCAUCCCCGUAAGACAACAUCCAAAGUUUAAUUUUAUUGGCAAGCUGUUGGGCCCAAGAGGGAAUUCUCUAAAGAGGCUAAAGGAAGAAACUGGGACAAAACUCUCAAUCCUUGGUAAAGGCUCCAUGCGAGACAGAGACAAGGAGGAAGAUCUGCGAAAAAGUGGCGAAGCCAAGUAUGUGCAUUUGAAUGAGGAUCUGCACGUACUAAUUGAGGUGUUUGCACCACCGUCACAAGCCUACAGACGAAUGGGUCACGCUCUCGAUGAAGUUAAAAAAUAUCUUGUUCCCGACUACAAUGACGAGAUCAGACAGCAACAGCUCCGUGAACUCAGCUUCCUCAAAGGAGAGGACGAUGCUGAGGUCGGGCUUGGGGUCCACGGCAGAAGCGGCCACGCCAGGGGCCAUCCUGCUCCAGUGCCUCUGCCCUCCAUCCGUCCGCUCCCAUCGCUGCAGCAUGCCCUUGCCAGCAGCCGCGGGCUACAUUCAGCGGUUCCCCGGAGAAUGGCCGCCCCGCGGGGCCUCGCCCUGGCCCGGGCACUGGCACCCCCUCUCCCUGCCGGCAGGGGAGUCCUGGCACCUCAAAGAAUGCGGCCAGUCGCCGCGUAUCGAGCGGCGCCGCCGCCUCCGCCGCCACCUCCUCCACUGCCGCUCCCGCUGGCUGAGGAGGCCUACGAGGAGGACUACGCUUAUGAAGAUGUGUAUGAGAAUGGAUACGAAGAGGACUAUGGUGCCGGCAGUACCUCCCAGACUAACAGUGCUGAAGAAUACUGUGACUACAGCUACACCCUUACUUUGGGAGAAUACGAUGACUUUGGUCAAAAUGGGUGGUCCAAUACCAAUGGCCUCCUCAAAGCAGCGCCAGUGUGGAGCAUGAAGGGCGCCAACAGGGAACACCCCUAUGGUAUCUAUUGACAUCUUGUUUGUUGUGCACUGAAUAUUUGUCUGCUGUUCUAGACUUCAUCGCGUGUCAUUUUCAAAACGUAGUGUUAGACUUUGUGGCUGUAAUGCUGACGCACACAUUUCGCGUACUUUGCUACGAAUUGGUGUACAUUUUGCAUUUUGCGUGCGCCAAAUUUUGUUACAGCUACCGCUUGUCUGUAGUGAAAUAAUUAAACCUAUACGUCUAUGGUAUGUAGUUUGUCGGAUGAAUAAGUACGAUCAUGAGCAAUUUAACAACUUUUUAAAACGCAAGCUGUCUGUAAACCUUAUUUGUUUUAAGGUGUAUUCUAAUUAUGGCAAGCAUGAAGAUCUAAUAAUUUUUAAACAAUUACACUAAGUAAAUACCAGUUUUGUUUUCAUACUUAAAUAGAUGCAAUUUAAAAGCAAAGGCAAAUGUUAUUUAUGGCACAAUUUAUGUUCAAUAUAAAGUAAGUACCCUGCUAUCAAUAAUGAUUAAAUGCGAAUUAAAGUAAGAUAAUUUUUGUACAUAAUUUACAUUUGAAUCGUAAUCUAUAAUGCUGAAUUAAUCAUAUUUGCUUAAAUCGAUCGCAUAAAAUGUUAUUGUAUGAAUAAAAGUAAUCUUAUUACGUAGUUCUGUGUGCUGUUUUAAAUAUAUCGGUUAAUACUUUAAUCUUAUAAGUGACGUAAACACUUUGCUUUGAAACAUUGCAAAAUAAUUGCGUUCAGAGCAUCGCACUGGUCUAUUGACUAACGGUUGUAUUAUUGCACAGUAUAUGAAAUUCACGGAAAAUUAUAUCGCAGCCUAACUGCCGUUGCACUCGACGGUUUAUUCAAAAUGUAAACUUCACCUGCAAGUAAUCCAACUUUAACGCUGUGCUAAAACGAAGUUACCUUUGUGUUGUCUCAACGCUAGUUAACCCCCCUCGUACAUAUCUAUAGGCAGGCGCGUUUGAUUAAUCCAUGCUGAUUCGAAUGAGAAUUUAGGGGAUUUCAAAGGAUCUCUAAAGCAAUAAGCACCUCAGCAAUAGAAGGAAGAGUCUUAAUACCAGUGGUACUAAUUUAAAGGAGAACGAUAGUACUGUUGUACCCAGGUGCAAACUACUUGGUAGGUGAACAUUGCGAAUAGAGCACCGGCCACCCAACUAUUCACGUUGGAUUUCGUUUAAAUGUUAAUUUGUUUUUACCUUUUAGCUAUACAACUUUACUUAACAUCCUCUUGGUCUCUUAACAAUUUAUAAAAUCAAUUAUUUAUAUAAUAAACAAUAUUG